rnacentral:rRNA from 1 species
GCCCAAGAGAUCGGGAUAACACCUGGAAACAGAUGCUAAUACCGGAUAACAACAGAUGAUGCCUAUCAGCUGUUUAAAAGAUGGUUCUGCUAUCACUCUUGGAUGGACCUGCGGUGCAUUAGCUAGUUGGUAGGGUAACGGCCUACCAAGGCGAUGAUGCAUAGCCGAGUUGAGAGACUGAUCGGCCACAUUGGGACUGAGACACGGCCCAAACUCCUACGGGAGGCAGCAGCC